rnacentral:rRNA from 1 species
GACGAACGCUGGCGGCGUGCCUAACACAUGCAAGUCGAGCGGGGACUUGUUGAGGAAGUCUUCGGAUGGAAUCGAUAAGUUCUAGCGGCGGACGGGUGAGUAACGCGUGAGCAACCUGCCCUCCACAGGGGGAUAACGCACCGAAAGGUGCACUAAUACCGCAUAAGACCACGGCACCGACAUGGUGCAGGGGUCAAAGGAGCAAUCCGGUGGAAGAUGGGCUCGCGUCUGAUUAGCUAGUUGGUGAGGUAACGGCCCACCAAGGCGACGAUCAGUAGCCGACCUGAGAGGGUGAUCGGCCACAUUGGAACUGAGAGACGGUCCAAACUCCUACGGGAGGCAGCAGUGGGGAAUAUUGGGCAAUGGGCGAAAGCCUGACCCAGCAACGCCGCGUGAAGGAAGAAGGUUUUCGGAUCGUAAACUUCUAUCCUUGGUGAAGAUAAUGACGGUAGC